GAAAUGCGAUAAGUAAUGUGAAUUGCAGAAUUCAGUGAAUCAUCGAAUCUUUGAACGCACCUUGUGCUCCUUGGUAUUCCUUGGAGCAUGCCUGUUUGAGUAUCAUGAAAUCUUCAAAGUAAAUCUUUUGUUAACUCAAUUGGUUUCUACUUUGGUAUUGGAGGUCUUUGCAGCUUCACACCUGCUCCUCUUUGUUCAUUAGCUGGAUCUCAGUGUUAUGCUUGGUUCCACUCGGCGUGAUAAGUUAUCUAUCGCUGAGGACACUGUAAAAGGUGGCCAAGGUAAAUGCAGAUGAACCGCUUCUAAUAGUCCAUUGACUUGGACAAUAUUUUUAUGAUCUGAUCUCAAAUCAGGUAGGACUACCCGCUGAACUUAAGC
rnacentral:misc_RNA from 1 species